rnacentral:rRNA from 1 species
UACGGAGGGUGCAAGCGUUAUCCGGAUUCACUGGGUUUAAAGGGUGCGUAGGCGGAUAUGUAAGUCCGUGGUGAAAUCUCUGGGCUUAACCCGGAAACUGCCAUGGAUACUAUGUGUCUUGAAUGUUGUUGAGGUGAGCGGAAUAUGUCAUGUAGCGGUGAAAUGCUUAGAUAUGACAUAGAACACCAAUUGCGAAGGCAGCUCACUAAGCAAAUAUUGACGCUGAGGCACGAAAGCGUGGGAUCAAACAGG